CGCGCUCCACACAGAUUAAAUUCUGAGCAUGUGGCCGUCACAAGGAUGACGUAACACCAGUAGUUAUGGACUAGGGAUAGCCGGUAACUAUAUAGGUGU
rnacentral:sRNA from 1 species